rnacentral:tRNA from 1 species
GCGGGUGUAGCUCAAUGGUAGAGCAGAAGCUUCCCAAGCUUACGACGAGGUUCGAUUCCUUCACCCGCUCCA